rnacentral:tRNA from 1 species
GGCUCGGUAGCUUAGUUGAUAAAGCGCUCGUCUAGCAUACAAGAGUCCUGGGUUCAAAUCCAUGCCGAGCAC